rnacentral:rRNA from 2 species
GAAUGCUGACAUAAGUAACGAUAAAGCGGGUGAAAAGCCCGCUCGCCGGAAGACCAAGGGUUCCUGUCCAACGUUAAUCGGGGCAGGGUGAGUCGACCCCUAAGGCGAGGCCGAAAGGCGUAGUCGAUGGGAAACGGGUUAAUAUUCCCGUACUUGGUGUUACUGCGAAGGGGGGACGGAGAAGGCUAUGUUGGCCGGGCGACGGUUGUCCCGGUUUAAGCGUGUAGGUGUGUGUUCCAGGUAAAUCCGGUUCACUUUAACACUGAGGCGUGACGACGAGGCACUACGGUGCUGAAGCAACAAAUGCCCUGCUUCCAGGAAAAGCCUCUAAGCAUCAGGUAACAUCAAAUCGUACCCCAAACCGACACAGGUGGUCAGGUAGAGAAUACCAAGGCGCUUGAGAGAACUCGGGUGAAGGAACUAGGCAAAAUGGUGCCGUAACUUCGGGAGAAGGCACGCUGACACGUAGGUGAAGUGAUUUACUCAUGGAGCUGAAGUCAGUCGAAGAUACCAGCUGGCUGCAACUGUUUAUUAAAAACACAGCACUGUGCAAACACGAAAGUGGACGUAUACGGUGUGACGCCUGCCCGGUGCCGGAAGGUUAAUUGAUGGGGUCAGCGCAAGCGAAGCUCCUGAUCGAAGCCCCGGUAAACGGCGGCCGUAACUAUAACGGUCCUAAGGUAGCGAAAUUCCUUGUCGGGUAAGUUCCGACCUGCACGAAUGGCGUAAUGAUGGCCAGGCUGUCUCCACCCGAGACUCAGUGAAAUUGAACUCGCUGUGAAGAUGCAGUGUACCCGCGGCAAGACGGAAAGACCCCGUGAACCUUUACUAUAGCUUGACACUGAACAUUGAGCCUUGAUGUGUAGGAUAGGUGGGAGGCUUUGAAGUGUGGACGCCAGUCUGCAUGGAGCCGACCUUGAAAUACCACCCUUUAAUGUUUGAUGUUCUAACGUGGACCCGUUACCCGGGUUGCGGACAGUGUCUGGUGGGUAGUUUGACUGGGGCGGUCUCCUCCUAAAGAGUAACGGAGGAGCACGAAGGUUGGCUAAUCCUGGUCGGACAUCAGGAGGUUAGUGCAAUGGCAUAAGCCAGCUUGACUGCGAGCGUGACGGCGCGAGCAGGUGCGAAAGCAGGUCAUAGUGAUCCGGUGGUUCUGAAUGGAAGGGCCAUCGCUCAACGGAUAAAAGGUACUCCGGGGAUAACAGGCUGAUACCGCCCAAGAGUUCAUAUCGACGGCGGUGUUUGGCACCUCGAUGUCGGCUCAUCACAUCCUGGGGCUGAAGUAGGUCCCAAGGGUAUGGCUGUUCGCCAUUUAAAGUGGUACGCGAGCUGGGUUUAGAACGUCGUGAGACAGUUCGGUCCCUAUCUGCCGUGGGCGCUGGAGAACUGAGGGGGGCUGCUCCUAGUACGAGAGGACCGGAGUGGACGCAUCACUGGUGUUCGGGUUGUCAUGCCAAUGGCACUGCCCGGUAGCUAAAUGCGGAAGAGAUAAGUGCUGAAAGCAUCUAAGCACGAAACUUGCCCCGAGAUGAGUUCUCCCUGAGACUUAAAGUCUC